UACGGAGGGGGCUAGCGUUGUUCGGAAUUACUGGGCGUAAAGCGCGCGUAGGCGGACCUCCAAGUCGGGGGUGAAAGCCCGAGGCUCAACCUCGGAACUGCCUUCGAUACUGCGGGUCUCGAGUCCGGGAGAGGUGAGUGGAAUUCCUAGUGUAGAGGUGAAAUUCGUAGAUAUUAGGAAGAACACCAGUGGCGAAGGCGGCUCACUGGCCCGGUACUGACGCUGAGGCGCGAAAGCGUGGGGAGCAAACAGG
rnacentral:rRNA from 1 species